UGUGCAAAUCAUUACAAGUAUACCACUGAGUAGGUCUCAGAUGGAAGAUCGAGAUGGAUGGCAUUUUUCGAAAAAUGAACGGUACACGGUUAAAUCAGGUUAUCAGGUGGAGCAGGUAUACCCAGAUCAGCAGUCCAAGGCAGAGACCUACGGACCCACGGUAGACUCACUCAAGUCCUUCUGUUGGAAAAUUCAGUGCUCACCGAAAAUCCGACACUUUCUGUGGCAAAUAUUAUCUGGAUGUCUAUCGGUUAGGAAAAUUUUGCAGGCUAGACGGAUGAAAGGAGAUAUAUGUUGUGCUCGAUGUGGUGCUCCAGAGGAAUCCAUAAACCAUGUCUGUUUUGAAUGCCCACCGGCAAUUCAGACAUGGGCGCUCUCUAAGAUUCCAUCUAAUCCUGCAAUCUUUCCAACGGAAUCACUUUACGCAAACAUAGAUCAUUUAUUUUGGCGGGUUAUCCUAAAGAUGGAUGAUCACCACUUUGCGUGGAUACUUUGGUACAUAUGGAAAGCGAGGAAUAGUAAGGUAUUUAGUAAUCUGGAUAUUGAUCCUCGAGAUACUCUUAGGAUGGCCGAGACAGAAUCUGUCCUGUGGGCUGAUGCACAGGUGCUCCCUGAUUCACAUGACGCACACCAGCGAGAUAUGGUUCCCAUACCGGUGAGACCAGGCAGAUGGUGCUUCUCGGAUGGCUCAUGGAAGGCAAAAGAUAUUUUCUCGGGACAAGGAUGGUAUAGCACCUUACCAGGAUUUGAUGGUUUAAUGGGCGCAAGAAACACCAGAGCUAGUCUUUCACCUCUCCAUGCAGAGUUUGAAUCAUUAAUCUGGGCAAUGGAAUGUAUGCGGAAUUUGCGGCAGUUUAGGGUCACAUUUGCAACAGAUUGUUCUCAAUUGGUGAAGAUGGUUUCGGAACCAGAAGAAAGGCCAGCGUUUGCAAACUACUUGACAGAUAUAAAGACCCUUAGUUCUGGAUUUCAGAGCUCGGAGAUCAUCUAUGUACCAAGAACGCAUAACACACAGGCGGACAAACUAGCACGCAGUGCAAGAGUUCAACCGUCGUUCGUCGUUCACAUGGAUGCAGAGCUACCCUUUUGGUCAACAGAGUCUAUAUGAGUUUGUUUUCUUUUAUUGAUGUCAAAAAAAAAAAAGAUAUCAUCACAAGUAAGAGGUAGCUUUUUAGGCUGAGAUAUAACUGCUAAAAAGGACUCAAUCUAUGAAUCUUUAUUCGUCCAUAUGUAACGUUUUGACAGUCUCAGUUUAAAUAUUUAUAGUUUUUCAAACUUUUGAAACUUGCAAAAAUGAUUUUUAGCUGAAAACAUUUAAUUGUUUUUUAGGAUUUUCAGUCAACUUGAAAUGUUUCCAUAAUUUUAUAUUCUACAAAUAAAAUGUAAAAUAUGUAUUUUGCGAAAAAAGUGUUUAUCAAGCAUUGAUGACUAUUUUUAAUAGAGGGAUGUGGUUUCCUAAAACGAAGACAUGUGUGGAGCGAAGACGGAUUAUUUCUUCGUAUACACUCACAAGUAGUAUUAUCUGUUUUAUAAUAGUGAGUGUGUAUGAAGACAUUUACACUUCCCUCGCUUUAUAGUGAAAACACGUGAUAUCCGUGACAUUUAAAAAUAUCUGUAUAUUGCAAUAAUGUUUAGAUGCUUCCUGUCGAUAUGAUCAAUUCUCAGGAAGAUAGUUACUCAAAGCACCAUCUUUCAACUAUGGAAGCAACGCAACAACCUGCUCCAUAGCCGAAUCUUCAUUCCUGCUAGUACGGUUUUCCGGAUAAUUGAUCGUGAAGUGCGUAACAUUAUUCUGGGCAGGAGACACAAGAGACUUUUCAAAAACCUCUUGUCCUUCUGGCUAGUUUAAUUGAUUCUGCUUAGACUCAGUUUCUUUAAACAAAAACUGCUGCUUCUUUGUUUUUAUUCUUUUUGCCUUGGAAGUAUGUUUCCUUAGGACUGCUACUUUUGUAAGUUCCUUUCUUCAUUUAUAUGAUAUUAACAUGUUUAGCAAAAAAAAAAAAAAAAAAGUCAUCAAAUGCCGAAUGUGCGAUAUAUAUACUAGACAUAGUUAAUCGUGUUCUUUUGGGGUAAUGGAAAUUAUUAGAAUCUAUUCACUUACAAAUAACAUUAUCUUAAUAAUGUAUUUACAUUAGAUCAACGUGUGCAGUCAGUCCAGACUAGGUUAAUUUAACCAGUGUAAUUUACUUGGAUCAGAGUUUGAAUAGAUAUCUUUGGAAGAGAAGUUUCUUAAGUCUUGACUAUAGAAGCUAUUAAAAUGUAAAACGAUGGUAUCCAUAAUCAAUUUGUAUUUCUUAUAAACAGUAUUUGAGAAACCGCUUGUUGUGUCUUUAAGACUUUAACAUUGAGUCUGAUGAGCAAAAUGAGUUGAUAUAUUAACAAGUUGUCAAGUUGAUGCGUUAUUAAUUAGGUCGGCGGCGUUUAGUAGUAGGUUUAAAUUGUGCAUCAAAAUGUACAAAAAGGAGGUGUAGUGAGUGAUAUCUAAUUAACUACAACAAUUAGUGUAGUUGCUUUGAGCUAGCGUGGCUGCGUGGGUAUUUUAGAGAGUGGUCCUAUCUUUAAGUAAUUCUCGAUUAAUUUGUUUAUUACCUUCGUAUACGUUUGUUCGAAUAAGUCAUGCUACAGUAAAAUAUAAGGAACAUCAACUCUACAAAGAGCUUAACAAGCCAAUAAUCCGCCAUUACUAUAUGCUAUAUAGAUUGCAUGUAUUAUGAUAUUACUUCUAUGUAAUUUUAGGACAUUCUAGUUCAUCCAAUUAAAAUCGUGCACGGAGAAGACUUGAGAGCUUUCAAGUAUUUAAGUGAGAUUAUACCAAAGAUCGCUGUUAUGUAUAUUGAAUAAUUGAAGUUAUACAUAUCAACUUGUCCUUUUGAUAUUUGAAACUCUUGAUAUUUACAGACUUUGAAAACAAAAAUCGAUAAGACGUAUGAUACGUACAUUUCAACUUUUGUCUUCUGAUACGCAUCAUAGACAAAUUAAGUUCAUAUUUACGAUAUAAAUUAUAUAGUUAUUGUACGGUAAGAAUUAUUGGUUAUCUCUUACAACUGGACAAAGAUCUGUGGCUUAAACUUCUUUAGUAUUUCUAUAUAUAUAUAUAUUUAUGUGUAAUUAUUGUCAUUUAGGUAUAGUUAUUUAUUAAAUAAUCAUAAUUGUUAUUUACAUAGCACUCUAACUUUUUCAUCAUCAAGAAAAUAGAGUAUUAUAAUAAUGAAAAUUCUGGUAAAAUGAAAUUGAACUCUUUUUUAAUGGUCAGAAAAGAACAGGAAUAAAUAAGAAGGAAGUGGAGAAAUUAAAAAGGAAAAAGAAGCUGUAGCGCAAAUAUAUAUUAUUGGCAACUUGUUUGAAAAUAAUAAGAACUCCAAACCCAUAAAAGGAAAUGAAUAAACACAAUCAAGAAACGGAAACAGAGUUAAUAGUUUACAACUUUACACACAGACAUGGAAAGUCAGCGGGUCAACUUUAAAACUCAGUGCUUUAAAUUAAGUGCUAAGUGAUAGUAGUAGUAAUUAACUAUUAUUCCCUCCAUAGUCCUUUUAUUAACUGAUAUUUUAACUGGACGGCAUCUUUCUCUACUUCUAGACUGCUAGACUUCUAGUAUCAUUAACUAAAUACGACAGCGUCUUUUUAAUUUCGGAAAAUGAAGUAACAAAAUUAACCAAAAAUUUAGGUUUUAAUUUUUUUAUUCAGGUUUAUUCUAGACCUAGUGUUCACUUUAUCAUCAACGUAUCAAUAUAUUUAUAACACUUAGUUUAUUAUAUCUGUACAUUAAAAUAUCAAAUAAUAAAUUAAAUAUAUAUUGAUAAAAUUAGGAAUUUUGAUAUUACUUGAUUAUAAUUAUUAUUUAAUAUUUUUAAACUAUAAUUCAUUUAUAAUAUUCCCUGAUAUACUGUAUAUACUGUAUCAGGAAUUCGUCAUAUCUUCAAAGAGAAUCUAAAAAGUCAAUUAUACAACACGGAAAAUUAACUAAAGUUUACAAACAUCAAUCUUAUGUGACACAUUCAUUCCAUGGUAUAAUUUUUGUGAGACUAAUUUUUGGUGAUAACUUGCGCUUUAGUUCGACCGGAACUAACACUUAGUUUAUAGUGUAUUUGACUGUUAAACAUGUUACAACCUACCUAGUUUAUAGUGUCUUCAAUUCAAAUUUUGAAGUGUGCGUGUAUGAACUAACAGAAAACAAAAUAUCAGUUUGGUUGUAUAAAGAAAUCGUUUGCCAUGAAUAAAUGUAAUUUUGAGUUCGUUUAAGUGGAUUAGUCAUAUACCUACAUGCAAAUAAAACUACAGGAUUAAGUAAAAAGGUUUCGAUCAGUUUAUGAUUUUUUUUUCAAAAUGUGAAAUCCCUCGUUAAUAAACUAUUUCACAAUAUUGAUUUAAUGGUUGAAAAUUCGUAGGAUCAAACUUGUAACCUCACCUUUCGUAAGAGAAUAUUUGUAAAGCCGAAUGGACUAUAUUUCAUAUUCGAUAGUUUCCCUUUUCAUACAUCAUGAAUAUUUAAACUUCAAAAUAAUAAUAAGCUAAGAAAAAAAAAGGUUUACAAACAAAAUAGAGGAGUACUUAAGAUAAUAAUUUAUUAAAUCAAUAAACACAGUUCCUAUAUUACGGCUGUGUAUUCUCUUCUUUGCACAUGUUCAAAGUAAUUUAAAAAAUUAAAAGAAAAAUUGAAAACUAUCAUCUUUUCUCUUCUAUAAAACCCACAAGUUCUCUCUUUUUCUUGUCAUUCGAAACUCAUCAUUUCUCUAUCUACACAUAACUCCAAAAAAUAUCAAACUCCCUCUUUCUCUCUCUCCCUCUCCCUAAAACCACAAAGAAAAAAAGUAGUAAGUCUCAAAUUUUUUUUUGCUGAGGUUUCUCUUUUCUUUGGAUAUAUUCUGUGUGCAUCAAUGGAUGAGAAAGGAAGAACCUUGAAGAACAACAACAUGGAAGACGAAAUGGACCUGAAGAGAGGUCCAUGGACUGCUGAAGAAGAUUUUAAGCUCAUGAAUUACAUUGCUACUCAUGGAGAAGGUCGAUGGAACUCUCUUUCUCGUUGUGCAGGUAUAUAUGAUUCAUUUCACGUAUAUAUACAGUUGUAUAUAUGCAUGUUCUACUUCUUUGAGCAUCUUUUGGCUAAAAGAGACAAAGGACAAGUCGCAUAACAUAAUUGAUUGUGUUUCAAUCACUUUAUGUUCAAUCCUUUUCAUGUUUCAAUCACCAUGUGUGAUUGUGUUUUUUUUUUAGAUUUCCCACCUUUACUUUUAUUUUUUUAAUUUUCGGAAAUGGUUUAUUUCCCUUAUAUGCAUAGAUGAAAAGACCAUUCAUAGGUAUGAAUUAAAAAGUGCAUACCUCUCAUGUUUCUCUCCUUAUUUCUAAAAAUAUUUGGUUCGAAUGAAUGAAUAAAGUGUUCAUGGUUUGAGUGAGAUCUUUUUAGCAAGAAAUUAAAUUAUCAACCAUCUCACUUUAGAUAUAAUAUCUAAAUUUGGUUAUUAAAAAGGGUGAAAAAGAAAGAGGAACUAAUGUGAAUUAAUGAUCAUCAUCUAUAUGGGAAGAGCACUAACUCAAUGGAAGAAAAUGACCCUUUAGAACAAUUUGCAUUUUGCAUCAUAGUACUGUCCAUUUUGGUUUUGUUGGGGAAUUUUAUAUAACUUUACCAAAUAUGAAAUUACAUGAGUUUCUUCCGUAUGAAAUCAUCAUACUCUAUAUACGUGUAGAUGACCGGCCGGUAAAUUAAUCAUCAUAUAUACUUUUACCAAUGAAAUUAUAGGACUCCAACGCACCGGUAAAAGCUGUAGGUUACGGUGGUUAAACUAUCUCCGCCCUGAUGUCCGCCGUGGAAACAUUACCCUCGAAGAACAACUCUUGAUUCUCGAACUUCAUUCCCGUUGGGGCAAUCGAUGGUCAAAAAUCGCACAAUACCUACCGGGAAGAACAGACAAUGAGA